AUUCAUUGCUAGGGGUGCCGUAUAGGCUGAAAGAUAUAUUAUCAACCCUUUGAACCUGAUCUAGUUAGCACUAGCGUAGGGAAGCGUGUAAAAAUGAUA
rnacentral:ncRNA from 2 species